rnacentral:rRNA from 1 species
UGGGGAAUAUUGGACAAUGGGCGAAAGCCUGAUCCAGCCAUGCCGCGUGUGUGAAGAAGGUCUUCGGAUUGUAAAGCACUUUAAGUGGGGAGGAGGCUCUCUUGGUUAAUACCUAAGAAGAGUGGACGUUACCCACAGAAUAAGCACCGGCUAACUCUGUG